UUGUCUACUGUGAUAGUUUGUUUAGGGAAUAGCUAAGGUUAUUUCAAUUUUUAGUCCCUGUGGAGACGAUACUCUGCUUACUAUUUAUUACUGCAAUUGCGUUGUGUGAGUUGCGAUUUUGUUGCUAAUUAAAAUAGUGAUCAACUUUUUGGCGCCGUUGCCGGAGAUUGAUUAGAAAUUUCUUUAAUAUUUCUGAUAAAGCUGAGCAGUAUUUCGAGCGUUUAUUAUUUUUCAUUUUUUUUCUUUUUGUUUUUCUUUUUUUUGUGGUUCUGAUUUGAAGCUGGUGACCUUUUAGGUUGUGCAUGAACACAAGAUCUCAGGGUCUUCCACUCUUAGAGUUUGAUCCUGAAAUUGAAGUUACCUGUCACCAUCUCAAGAAUCAGAAGAAGCAAGCUGAAUUGGAUACAAUGGCUACUGCUGAAGAAGUUCAAGCCCUGCAACAACAACUGAAACAGUUGAUUGACGCUUAGGCUGCUUUAGAGGCUCAGAGACAACCUCCAAUUAAUGAGGUAUUCAUACCGCAGUACAACUAC
rnacentral:lncRNA from 1 species